GUCCACGCCGUAAACGAUGAAUGCUAGCCGUUGGGUAGCUUGCUAUUCAGUGGCGCAGCUAACGCAUUAAGCAUUCCGCCUGGGGAGUACGGCCGCAAGGUUGAAACUCAAAGGAAUUGACGGGGGCCCGCACAAGCGGUGGAGCAUGUGGUUUAAUUCGACGCAACGCGCAGAACCUUACCAGGGUUUGACAUCCUGCGACCGCUCCGUAAUGGGAGUUUUCCCGCAAGGGACGCAGAGACAGGUGCUGCAUGGCUGUCGU
rnacentral:rRNA from 1 species